GGUUAAGCGAAUAAGCGUACACGGUGGAUGCCUAGGCAGUCAGAGGCGAUGAAGGACGUGCUAAUCUGCGAUAAGCGCCGGUAAGGUGAUAUGAACCGUUAUAACCGGCGAUUUCCGAAUGGGGAAACCCAGUGUGAUCCGUCACACUAUCAUUACCUGAAUACAUAGGGUAAUGAAGCGAACCGGGAGAACUGAAACAUCUAAGUACCCCGAGGAAAAGAAAUCAAACGAGAUUCCCCCAGUAGCGGCGAGCGAACGGGGAGCAGCCCAGAACCUUAAUCACUAUCAGCAUCAGGAGAACAGUCUGGAAAGGCUGGCCGCAGCAGGUGAUAGCCCUGUAUCCGAAGGUGUUGGUAGUGUGAGUCCGAUGAGUAAGGCGGGACACGUGUUAUCCUGUCUGAAUACGGGGGGACCAUCCUCCAAGGCUAAAUACUCCUGACUGACCGAUAGUGAACCAGUACCGUGAGGGAAAGGCGAAAAGA
rnacentral:rRNA from 1 species